AAAGGAUAACCUUGAUAGGGUUCCUCAUGUGGCCCCCCCACCUUUACAAUAAUUGGACUCCCCGU
rnacentral:tRNA from 1 species